GCGUGAGGGAAGAAGGUUUUCGGAUUGUAAACCUCUGUCCUUGGGGACGAAAAAAAUGACGGUACCCAAGGAGGAAGCCCCGGCUAACUACGUGCCAGCAGCCGCGGUAAUACGUAGGGGGCGAGCGUUGUCCGGAAUUACUGGGCGUAAAGGGUGCGUAGGCGGUAUUUUAAGUCAGAUGUGAAAUCCCCGGGCUCAACCCGGGUAUUGCAUUUGAAACUGGGAUGCUAGAGUGCAGGAGAGGGAAGCGGAAUUCCUAGUGUAGCGGUGAAAUGCGU
rnacentral:rRNA from 1 species